UAAACUACAAAAAAGAGAGAACUGAAUAUUAUCCCCUGCCCCACGGCAACCACAACCUGCUCUCUCUCAAUAAAAACUGAAUGGAGAAAAGGUGAGAGAACAUUUAAACAAUAUCUUCUACAUAUGUAUCCUAAGGGAGGAAGAAAAACUUUAACCUAAAUCCAGUACUCUUAGAGAUGGUUCUCCAUUUCAAUAUCCCUAUUACUUAUCCGUUGGUAAUACUUGAAUAGGAAAGGCACGAGCCAAAACAUCUUGGGUCCUAUUACUUAUCCGUUGGUAAUCCUUGAAUAGGAAAGGCACGAGCCAAAACAUCUUGGGUCCUAUUACUUAUCCGUUGGUAAUCCUUGAAUAGGAAAGGCACGAGCCAAAACAUCUUGGGUCCUAUUACUUAUCCGUUGGUAAUCCUUGAAUAGGAAAGGCACGAGCCAAAACAUCUUGGGUCCUAUUACUUAUCCGUUGGUAAUACUUGAAUAGGAAAGGCACGAGCCAAAACAUCUUGGGUCCUAUUACUUAUCCGUUGGUAAUCCUUGAAUAGGAAAGGCACGAGCCAAAACAUCUUGGGUCCUAUUACUUAUCCGUUGGUAAUACUUGAAUAGGAAAGGCACGAGCCAAAACAUCUUGGGUCCUAUUACUUAUCCGUUGGUAAUACUUGAAUAGGAAAGGCACGAGCCAAAACAUCUUGGGUUCUCUAAAGCCCUACUACCU
rnacentral:lncRNA from 1 species